rnacentral:rRNA from 1 species
ACUCAAAGGAAUUGACGGGGGCCCGCACAAGCAGCGGAGCGUGUGGUUUAAUUCGAGGCUACACGAAGAACCUUACCUGGGUUUGACAUGCUAGUAGUAGGGAACUGAAAAGGGACCGACCGCAAGGAGCUAGCACAGGUGCUGCAUGGCUGUCGUCAGCUCGUGCCGUGAGGUGUUCGGUUAAGUCCGCAAACGAGCGCAACCCUCGGCGUUAGUUACACGUGUCUAACGCGACUGCCCGUGAGAAACGGGAGGAAGGUGGGGAUGACGUCAAGUCAGCAUGGCCUUUAUAUCCAGGGCUACACACACGCUACAAUGGGCGGUACAGAGGGUCGCGAAGCCGCGAGGUGGAGCCAAUCCAGAAAGCCGUUCGUAGUUCGAAUUGCAGGCUGCAACUCGCCUGCAUGAAGUCGGAGUUGCUAGUAACCGCGCGUCAGCUAUAGCGCGGUGAAUACGUUCCCGGGCCUUGUACACACCGCCCGU